AGAGUUUGAUUAUGGCUCAGGAUGAACGCUGGCGGCGUGCUUAACACAUGCAAGUCGAACGAAGCGAUUUCUGCUUGCAAGAAAUGACUUAGUGGCGGACGGGUGAGUAACGCGUGGGUAACCUGCCUCAUACAGGGGGAUAACAGUUGGAAACGACUGCUAAAACCGCAUAACCCGCUAGUGUCGCAUGACACGGACGGAAAAUAUUUAUAGGUAUGAGAUGGGCCCGCGUCUGAUUAGCUAGUUGGUAAGGUAAUGGCUUACCAAGGCGACGAUCAGUAGCCGACUUGAGAGAGUGAUCGGCCACAUUGGGACUGAGACACGGCCCAAACUCCUACGGGAGGCAGCAGUGGGGAAUAUUGGACAAUGGGGGAAACCCUGAUCCAGCGAACCGCCGCGUGAGUGAAGAAGUAUUUCGGUAUGUAAAGCUCUAUCAGCAGGGAAGAUAAUGACAGUACCUGACUAAGAAGCCCCGGCUAACUACGUGCCAGCCGCAGC
rnacentral:rRNA from 1 species